rnacentral:rRNA from 1 species
AACGAACGCUGGCGGCAGGCUUAACACAUGCAAGUCGAACGGGUGUAGCAAUACAUCAGUGGCAGACGGGUGAGUAACACGUGGGAACCUUCCUAGGGGUACGGAACAACUCAGGGAAACUUGAGCUAAUACCGUAUACGUCCGUGAGGAGAAAGAUUUAUCGCCCUUAGACGGGCCCGCGUCGGAUCAGCUAGUUGGUGGGGUAACGGCCUACCAAGGCGACGAUCCGUAGCUGAUCUUAGAGGAUGAUCAGCCACACUGGGACUGAGACACGGCCCAGACUCCUACGGGAGGCAGCAGUGGGGAAUCUUGGACAAUGGGCGCAAGCCUGAUCCAGCCAUGCCGCGUGAGUGAAGAAGGUCUUCGGAUUGUAAAGCUCUUUUGCCAGGGACGAUAAUGACG